rnacentral:rRNA from 1 species
UACAGAGGGUGCGAGCGUUAAUCGGAAUUACUGGGCGUAAAGCGUGCGUAGAUGGUUAUGUAAGUCGGAUGUGAAAGCCCAGGGCUCAACCUUGGAAUUGCAUUCGAGACUGCAUAGCUAGGAUGCGGAAGAGGGAAGCGGAAUUUCCGGUGUAGCGGUGAAAUGCGUAGAUAUCGGAAGGAACACCAGUGGCGAAAGCGGCUUCCUGGUCCAGCAUCGACGUUCAGGCACGAAAGCGUGGGGAGCAAACAGG